UGUUCUGUGGCUUAGUUGGUUAAGGCGCCGAUCUAGCAAAUGCAGUCGUGAGUUCCAAUCCCACCAGAACGC
rnacentral:tRNA from 1 species